ensembl:lncRNA
UAGGUUUCAGUGAUGAAAAGGAACUUGCCUGAUCUUCAGCCACACUCCAUUCUGUCUGUUGACUAACAGGACAUCAGAUGAGGAUAUCAAGAGUAAUCUGGACAUAGCAGCUUUCUUCCAAGGAUCUCUAAACUCUCUAAGGACAUGCUUUUCUCUGCAAACUUCCUCUCACUCCGUUUCUAUGAGAACUCUUCCUGCAAACUGGGUCCCUAAGAGGAUUAGUGAAGGGGGUACCAAUUUAUUUAUACUCACCUCAGCAUGGCAGCAGGCAAACAUUUUAUGGUGCAUAUUGACUCCACGGACUACCCAGACAAGUAAUGCUGUGGGGUGAAAGAUCAGUCUCUGAUUUACCUGGUAGUCAAAGUGACUAUGGAAGGCUGAAACCAUGUACUGCAAUUGUUCUUAUUUAACAACUCUUCUCAUGCUGUAGUCAAUGAAUCUCUGAUCUCCUGGACUGAAAUGUCUGACACUUGUAGAAUUAUUUAUUUGCUGACUCCUGUAUCCACAAUCCACUGUGUUAUGCUCACAGAGCUCCAUCUACAGCAGUGUCCUAACAGAGUGGACCAAUGGUGCAUUGGAUAUAAAUUGUAUGUUCUUUAAAGGGAAGGGAGGCGGGAAGAGAGGGAAGACAUACAUGGAUAAACAUAGGCUGUGCUGUGCAAUACGUGCUUCUCAUGCUGUCCUUUAAGUAAGGGAUAGUCUCCAGCCACAUAUAUUGUGAUCAAGGAUGGCUUGGACUUCUGAGAAACAAGGAGUAGAUUAGCUCUGGCAGAAUUUUUUUCUCGCUGUUGAGUCUCAGACCAUUGCUACCCAUGUCAAACGGCCAACGUGCUGAACAAAAUUUGAUGACCCUUGCUGUUGUAUAACUUCAGAAGAUGGGACAAAAGGGGCACCCUUUGGUGUCCUAUAUGCCAAAGAGGAAUCAGCUCCUGAGAGAAGUCUCCAAACAGCUCCCUCUGGCUACUACAAGAAGCUGAACUGGUGGCUUCUGUUCCCUGGAAGGCUGUGUUCGAUGAUCACAGGCCGUUAUAUAUUUCUCACUUGACUGCCCUGCUGGUAACUUCACUUUUAAGAUGAAUUAUGCAAGAAAUGCUGUGAAGCAUCAGACGUUCAGGAGCUGAGGAUCGGGGGAAGAGUCCUCUCAAUGUAUGAACUCAUUUCUGUGUAAAGUCUGAGACUCACCUGGAUUCCGGCUUCUCCAGAAAGGACAAGAGCUUUCAAAAAAUGAUUGGUGGACUUUGUUUUCCUGUGCAUGUGUGCCUGUAUCGUGUCUGAACUUGCAAAGAAUAUAAUUGGUUAUUCCCAAGGAAUCCAGUAAAUGGUGAAUCUGU